rnacentral:rRNA from 1 species
AUUGAACGCUGGCGACAGGCCUAACACAUGCAAGUCGAACGAGUGGCGGAGGGGUGGGUAAGGUCUGGGAAACUGCCUGAUGGAGGGGGAAAACUACUGGAAACGGUAGCAAAUACCGCAUACCAUCGGAUGUGCCGAGGUGGGAGUAGCUAGUAGGUGGGGGAACGGCUCACCUAGGCGACGAUCCCUAGAUGGUCUGAGAGGAUGACCAGCCACACUGGAACUGAGACACGGUCCAGACUCCUACGGGAGGCAGCAGUGGGGAAUAUUGCACAAUGGGCGAAAGCCUGAUGCAGCCACGCCGCGUGUAUGAAGAAGGCCUUCGGGUUGUAAAGUACUGUCAUCAGGGAGGCGUUACCCGCAGAAGAAGCACCGGCUAACUACGUGCCAGCAGCCGCGGUAAUUC